AAAUCCAUCACUUUUUGCAAAAAAAAAAAAAAAAAACAAGAUAGCAGCCGCCCCAUUUCCAUCUUUUGAUCAUCAACAAAACCAUCUGCCACCAGUUACCAUGUUUUUCUACUCCGAUCUGUCAUGCUCCUUUUUCUCCAACAUCAAAUCCAGUCCAACCGAAGUUAUCUUCUCUGCAAGCCUUCAUAAUAGCAACACCACAGAGCUGCCAUUCUCCAAGUCUUUGCAACAAUAUAAACACAAAAUUGCGCCACGACACAAUCGUUUUGCUCUGCAUUAUGAAUGGUUAUAGCAGCUGCUUCCUCAAAAAUUUGUCUUGAUCUGUCCUCACAAAAAUCAGACCCAAUCAACCUGAAAAAAAUCACAAAACCACCCGAGAUUCUAGCCAAAGAAAACCCAAAAAUCAACCCAAGAAAAAACUAGAAAUCACAACUUGAUUACCACCUAAAAAGCCAUUGUUUUUGUAUGUCAGCUGCACUUGUAACACACGCCCUAUCCACCCCACAGUAGCUCAUUCAGCCCGCACCAACACUGCUCUACCUCUUUCCGGUUCAUUUCUGAUAGUUGUAGAAGGUCAAUUUCGUGUCCAAAAUGAAUUUGUUUGUUUUGUAUAAUUUUUAGCAUGAUUUUAUUGAUUUUAUGUGAACAUGGUUGAUUGGUAUGUAUGGA
rnacentral:lncRNA from 1 species